rnacentral:rRNA from 1 species
GAUGAACGCUAGCGGCAGGCUUAAUACAUGCAAGUCGAGGGACAGCACAGGUAGCAAUACUGGGUGGUAACCGGCAAACGGGUGCGGAACACGUACACAACCUUCCUUUAAGUGGGGGAUAGCCCAGAGAAAUUUGGAUUAAUACCCCGUAAUAUAGUUGAAUGGCAUCAUUUGAUUAUUAUAGCUACGGCGCUUAAUGAUGGGUGUGCGGCUGAUUAGAUAGUUGGCGGGGUAACGGCCCACCAAGUCUACGAUCAGUAGCUGAAGUGAGAGCAUGUACAGCCAGACGGGCACUGAGACACGGGCCCGACUCCUACGGAGGGCAGCAGUAAGGAAUAUUGGUCAAUGGACGCAAGUCUAAACCAGCCAUGCCGCGUGAAGGAUUAAGGUCCUCUGGAUUGUAAACUUCUUUUAUCUGGGACGAAUAUGGGCCUUUCUAGGUCAACUGACGGUACCAGAUGAAUAAGCACCGGCUAACUCCGUGCCAGCAGCCGCCGUAAGAC